rnacentral:rRNA from 1 species
UACGUAGGGCGCAAGCGUUGUCCGGAAUUAUUGGGCGUAAAGAGCUCGUAGGCGGCCUGUUGCGUCCGCUGUGAAAUCCCGGGGCUCAACCCCGGGCCUGCAGUGGAUACGGGCUGGCUAGAGGCAGACAGGGGAGAACGGAAUUCCUGGUGUAGCGGUGAAAUGCGCAGAUAUCAGGAGGAACACCGGUGGCGAAGGCGGUUCUCUGGGCCUGUACUGACGCUGAGGAGCGAAAGCGUGGGGAGCGAACAGG